AGCGGAAAGUUGCGGUAAAUACCCGCAUACGAUUCCACGGAUGAAAGUGGGGGAUCGCAAGACUUCAUGCUCAUGGAGCGGCCGAUAUCUGAUUAGCUAGUUGGUGGGGUAAAGGCCUACCAAGGCAUCGAUCAGUAGCUGGUCUGAGAGGACGACCAGCCACACUGGAACUGAGACACGGUCCAGACUCCUACGGGAGGCAGCAGUGGGGAAUUUUGGACAAUGGGGGCAACCCUGAUCCAGCAAUGCCGCGUGAGUGAAGAAGGCCUUCGGGUUGUAAAGCUCUUUUGUCAGGGAAGAAACGGUGAGGGCUAAUAUCCUUUGCUAAUGACGGUAC
rnacentral:rRNA from 1 species